rnacentral:rRNA from 1 species
CAGCAGCCGCGGGAAUACGAAGGGGGCUAGCGUUGCUCGGAAUCACUGGGCGUAAAGGGUGCGUAGGCGGGUCUUUAAGUCAGGGGUGAAAUCCUGGAGCUCAACUCCAGAACUGCCUUCGAUACUGGCGAUCUUGAGUCCGGAAGAGGUGAGUGGAACUCCUAGUGUAGAGGUGGAAUUCGUAGAUAUUAGGAAGAACACCAGUGGCGAAGGCGGCUCACUGGUCCGGUACUGACGCAGAGGUGCGAAAGCGUGGGGAGCAAACAGGAUUAGAUACCCCCGUAGUCCCUGUCUCUUAUAC